rnacentral:lncRNA from 1 species
GGCGCGGGUGGGCGAGGCCUGUCAAAAAUAAACCCGAGCUGGAGCGAAGUUAGAGCAGUGAAAAUAGAUUUUAUUCGAUAAACCUAUUGCCACAGGGGACGAGAGGCUGCAGUAUAGAGCUGGGCUCAUUUUGAAUACAGCCAGAACAAGUGAGGUUGAUAGCCGGGGGGCAAGUUGGAUUGCAGGGUGGCGUUGUGGCAGAGAAAAUUGGGAAGAAGAGACAUCAAGUCUGGGGGGCAUUCUGGCUGAACCAACCCAGCAGGAUUCUUGCUGGAGGCAGGCCAAGGUGAUCAUAUAGCACCUGGGGGAGUGGGAUGGGGGGGUUGAUCAGAUAUCAGGGUAGAGAAUUCUUGAUAAACUGAUUUAGCAGGUUCUUGCUAAAACUGGAUUCUCCAAGGAAGUACACGGACAGGCUUGUUCAGGAGAGGGUUCAGGAGAACCUGACUAAAGUUUGGUUAAGCAAAGAAUCUUUGUCAGGGAGGAGGAGUGGGCUGCGCAGGAUCCUUUGCCCAGUGUCCUUUCUGUGAGCCGAGUUGCCUGUGUCUAGGAAAUGAGAAUAGUUGUCAUUGCUAAGGACCUGGUGUGUGCUGGUCUUCCUUGGGCCCAGCGUGCCGUAGUCUUCCUUGGGAGCCUAAGAGGAAGUAUUCUCUUGUCUUCCUCAGAGUCCAGUGUCUGGUGUUCUCUCAUCUUCCUCAAGUCCCCAGGCCCCGUGUGGUCUUGUCUUCUCAGAGCCCAGGCUCUGAUGUUUUCUCUCCCCCUUGGUGCUUAGAGGUCUCUUGUGCCCCUCGGUCCCAGGGCCUGGUACUCUGCUCUUUCUUGGAGUUUCCUAGCAGGUCUCAGCAACCCUAUGCCUCCCUUUGGGUUGUCCUAUCCACUGCCUGCUGAGCUUGUUCGAUGAGUUGUUAAUUUUUCUGGCCACUGUGGAGAGCAUCCACCUGCAGGCUGCACAUCGUUCAUCUUAUUUGCUGCAAUUAGACAGUAAGUCUGUUGAUUUUUGCACGUUAGUAUUUACUCAGAAACCAUGCAGAUAUCUUUUAUUCUAACAGUAUUUCCUUGGAUUUUUCUUGGCUAUUGUAGAUAAGACAUCAUCCUCAUUCCAUAAGUAAUUUGGCCUCUUUUCCAUUUUUUUCUUUUUUGAGGAAGAUUAGCCCUGAGCUAACAUCUGCCGCCAGUCCUUUUUGCUGAGGAAGACUGGCCCUGAGAUAACAUCAGUGCCCAUCAUCCUCUACUUUGUAUGUGGGACGCCUGCCACAGCAUGGCUUGACAAGCAGUGUGUAGGUUUGCACCCAGGAUCUGAACCAGUGAACCCCGGGCUGCCAAAGUGGAACGUGUGAACUUAACUGCUGCACCACUAGCCUGGCCCCUCCUUUCCCAUAUUUUGACUUUAAAAAAGUCGAUGUUAUAUAGCCCUAGGUACUGUGACGGAACCAUGUUAAUUAGUCAUAUUAUUGUUUUGUUUUGGAUGUGACUGAGAUGCUUCUAGUGGUUCACUGUCAAGUUUGAUGGAGGCCUUUAACAUCUUAAGGAAACAAACUGUUUAUUGGUAUAGGAUGAAAACGUGACUUUAGCUUCAAAGGUGAUUUUAAAUAAGUAUAUUAUUGGAGCUGGCCUGGUGGCAUGGUAGUUAAGUUCUCACACUCUGCUUCAGUGGCUUGGGGUUCGUGGGUUCUGAUCCUGGGCAUGGACCUGUGCACCACUCAUCAAGCCAUGCUGUGGUGACAUCCCACAAACAAAAAUAGAGGAAGGUUGGCAGCAGAUGUUAGCUCAGGGCCAAUCUUCCUCACCAAAAAUAAAUUAAAAAGUCCGUUAUUGAAGAUUGACUCACAAAAGCCACUUUAAUACAACUUUUAAUAAUAACUGCAUGUUUUUUUUCUUGUUUAGCAAAUUAAGCAUGCUAUUUAAUUUGCUGUAAUUUGAUUAUGUAAAAAACAUUUCUGAAGAAAUGUUAACUGUUAUGCACGAAACUGUGAAACAUGUUAUGCAUCCUGCUUGCAUACAGGGCCCCAAUCCCUUGUUUAAAACCUUCAAGGCCAAAAGUAUUUUGGAAUUCACAAGGAUGUGGAUUUUAGCAGCAGAGUAAGGUGCACACACCACGCAGUACGUAACGUCCCUGACAGGUCUGGGGCAGCAUCUGCCAUCAAACACUUGAGUGUAUCUGUAGCAAAAUACGUGAAGAAUCACACUAGGUUGGAGAAAGACAAGGUGUAAAUAGCGUUUUUAGUUCAGGUAAAUUUUGCUGAUACAUAAUACAGAAAGAAAGUUUUUAUUAGAAAAAGUUUUGGAAUUUAGAAUUGCAGAAAAGGCAUUGUGGAUCUUACAUGAAAAUGGCUGGAUUAGCAAUAAUAGUUGUUUCAUUCAAUUGCAAAGUUUAAUUUGUACUUUUCCUCACUUCAUAUACUCCGUAUAGACACGUUUAUUGAGAUAACUGAAUUGUUAAAAUAUAUUAACAUUCUUCUAUAUGCUUUCUUUAAUCAGUAGUCCACUAUUCGUUUAACUUAAACAAUAUAUAAGAAUAAGAGAUAUAAAACUAUGUAUUGGCCACAUCACUAUGGCAGCUGGUGACAUUUAGUUGAGCAGUAAACCAGCCAUGCGACUGAAUCGUGGACCUGCGAUUUGAUCUCCACUCACCAUUCGCUAUUCUUGUUUCAUCACACAGAGCAGCUCAAACUAUUCCCUGUGAAGGGGAACACAUGUUUAAAAGUCAUUUAAAAAAAGAAGAUGUAUUUUUUGUCUUUAAAACAUGAGCCUCUAGGACGCUUCUUAGAACUCCUCAGAGCUUGAGAACUUCAGGAUGGACAAGCAGAAAUAAAUUAAUCAGAAUUUUACCUGUAAAUUAUUAGUAUCAUAACUACUUCCCAUAAAACAGGCUUUUGGGUCUAUUUAUUACUGCUACACAUUUACUCUUUGCCUGUUCUCACCAACAUCAAAGAUGAGGUCAUCAUCAAGAUAAUCCAAACUCUUCGUAAUGCAUGGGAAAGGCAAAGAGUCUGAGCUCUGAGCAAGGGUGGACUGAAAACAGCCUCCAGAAGACAGUCUGCCUCAAAGAGGAAUGCAGGAAGUCCACAGAAGCCUGGACAAACCAGUAAAUCAGGUUUGGAAUAAUCCAGUUCGUACCUUUGUGUCCUGUAUCCCUUAGGGUGUGUUUGGUUGUAAAUACUCGAAAUCCAACUACUGUAAAUAACAGACUAUUUCCUUGCAGAACUGAAGGUUUGUAAACAGAUGGUUCCUGGUACUGGUUUAAGCUGUCCACCGGCAUCACCCAGGACUGGGCUCCUUCCUUCUUGCCAUGCUCAGUAUGGGAGUGUCUCAUCCUUUGGCCACUAGGGCACAGACAAGAGACAAGCCAGCCACAUGCUUACUGCUGGCCCUGAAUACAACCCAUCUCAACAUUUCUCUCUGCCUUAGGAAGUCACCCUUUUCCUCCCUGAUGAAAAUCGACCCCCAUCUUUCUUCUUGAGUCUUUCUCUUGUCUAUUCACUCCUCUGGUCAAUAGCCAUGGAUAGACAUACACAUCCAAAACUAAAGAACGUAUCUGCUCUCAGCAGUCUUAAUUUUAAAAUUUCUGGAUGUUCUUGUUACCACAAAUAAGAUAUGAAACAGACCUAAGUGCUGUAACUAUUGGAAAAAAAUAUACAAAAGUGCAUUUAUUAACAGAUAACAUUAGCACACAAAAAAUCCAAUUGGAAAACUUUAAAAAUCAAUGAGAUUGCGUUAAACCACAGAGAAUAAGAAUUAAAGAUACGUAAGUCAACACACACACAUACACACAAAAGUAUAAGCUUAACAAGUAUAUUGAAAAGGAGAUUCCUUUCACAGUAGAAUCAUAAAAACAUAAAAUGUUUGGGAUUAAGUUGGGAGAUGCAGGGGAUCUACAUGAAGCUAAGUUUCUGGAAAGAAUUACAAGUAAACUUGCAUAAAUGAAAAUGCUCAUCGUGUCCCAGGAUGGGAAGGCCAAUUGUAAACCCCAGGUCAUCAUCACUAGGCUCCAUUCACUUCUGCGCUUCUUCCUCCUCAAAAUGUGAGGGAAGGAACUGGCUGCCAUUCUUCACAAGAACAAUCAAGUCACAUUCAAACACAUCUUAUGGAGAAAUGCUCUCAGAAACUACUAGUCAGGGGCCGGCCCUGUGGCUGAGUGGUUGGGUUCUUGUGCUCCACUUCAGCGGCCUAGGGUUUCUCUAGUUUGGAUCCUGGGCACGGACAUGGCACUGCUCAUCAGGUAAUGCUGUGGCAUCGUCCCACAUGCCACAACCAGAGGCAUUCACAACUAGAAUAUACAACUGUGUACUGGGGGGCUUUGGGGAGAAGAAGAAGAAGAAAAAAAAAGAAGAUUGGCAACAGUUGUUAGCUCAGGUGCCAAUCUUUACAAAAAAAAAAAAGGAAACUACUCGUUAAAAAAUGUUCUCUUUUUUCUUUGCCAAUAAAUUUAGACCUCAAAGCCAUCAGUAGCAUAGAGUUGUAAUUACAGAACUUUUUAUGUGUAGUGGGGGAACUCGUAGGUCAGCAAGUUGAAUUGAGGUGUGUGGUUUGUUUCAAGCACCUUUUUUCACUCUGAGAGGACUCCUAUGUCACCCACCAUGAGGAAGGACAUGACUGACAGAGACUGUAUCCCUGUCUGCAUUUGUAGUUUGAGGAAUUCACCACAUCGGCUUGGUCCCACUGUGUGUUUUCACAUCACACCCUGGACCUCUGGAUGUCUCCAUCUCUUCUCUGCAUCCCCUUGGCUGUGCCUCAGACUGCAGCUGUGGUAACUUGGCCCUUCCUGCUGAUUGCAGUGGGUGUCUGCUCUCUCUGGGGUGCCCACCUCCCGAGGAGCGACUCUGAGUCAGGCCAGCAAGUGUCACCCUGAGCCUGCAGACCCUCGUUACCUGUGAUGCCUGCUUCUAGUAGGCCCUAAGUUGUCGCUUAGCAUUCCUAAGGAAGAGACUUGAGAGCAGAAGCUGGUUGUGAGCAAGAAAGGGUUAUCAUGUAAGACGGUCUUUUGGCCACAAGUAACAGAAUGUGUCACCAUUCAUUAUCUUACAUUGCCUGAAGUCCAGAGGCAAGGGCUUCUGGGCAUGGUUCCUGGGCUCGACUGUCACACUUAGCCAGCCACCAUCCAUCUCUUGGCUCAGCUCUCAGCAUGUUGUCCUGGUUAUUCCUAAGGCUUGUGUCCUCAUGAUCUCAAGGUGGCUGUCACAGUUCCAGGCAUUGCACAUAGCCAUGCAACACUUGUCUGAAAAUAUUGGCAUCAGGGGAUGUAUUUGUUUCCUUUGCCACUGUAACACAUUACCAAGUCUAUCAUCUCACAGCUCUGGAGGUCAGAAGUCCAUAAUGGCUCUCACUGGGCUAAAAUCAAGGUGUUGGCAGGGCUGCGUUCCUUUUAGAGGCUCUAGGGGAGAAUCCAUUUCCUUUCCUUUUCUGGCUUCUAGAGAUCACCUGCAUUCCUUGGCUCAUGGCCUCUUCUUCUGUCAUCAAAGCCAGCAGUGUAGCAUCUUCAAGUCUCUCUCUGACUCUGACCUCUGCUUCUGUCAUCCCAUUGCCUUCUCUGACUGACUGUCCUGCCCCUUCUUAAACAAGGACGAUUGUGAUGACAUUGGGUCCACCACAAAUAAUCCAGGAUAAUCUCUCCGUCUCAAGAUCCUUAAUUACACCUAUAAAGUCCCUUUUGCCCUGUAAGAUAACAUAUUCACAGGUUCAAGGCAUUAGGAUGUGAGCAUCUUUGGGGAGCUAUUACUACCCACCAUGGGGAAGGAAUAAAAUCUCUUCAGAUGCCUUCUUUCUUGUAGACUUCCUCAGAUCCCAUUGUCCAGGACUGACACCUGUGUCCAUGUCUUGGCUGUGAGAAAAGCUGGGAAAGAGAGUGGCUGGCAUUUUGGCAUCUGUAGAGGGUGCUGGACUCCUCACCAUGAAGGGGGGUGGCACAGCCACAGUGGCUGGCACAAAAGUCUGUGUGUGUGCUCAUCUGCCCCAGAGACCUCUCCUCAAAUUGAGUUAUAAGGCCAUAUGCCCAAUCUGAGAGCAGCUAGUGCUGGAAAUUUCUGGACUUGCUGCCAGCAGAGAUCCUGAACUGAAUGAAGUCUCAACAUCUAGGGGAGCAGCGAGGAGGUGGGGAUCCUGGUAGAGGGUCUGAUGGUAGUGCUGGAAAGGAAAGGUGGCAUUUCUGUGAGUAUAAGGGAACAACAGGAGAUCUCCCUUGGGUCCAGGAGGAAAGCUAGCAUUUCAGAGGCUUCUCAUAAAAGCAGAGAGAGAGGAAGGUCUUCAGGGUUCAUGUGUGGAAUCUUACCCCUCAUCUCUUUCCCAGAACACGCCAGAUGCUCUUUUGCAUCUAUGGGUGAGGUUCCCUCCCAACCCCAGCUUUGCAAGGGAUUUUAGUUGAAGUUUGUGAGGUUUGCAUCAUCCUUGGAGCGUGGACCAUCUGCAGGCUUUUUAAUCCUGUCUGCACACUGGCUGUGCACCCCUAGAAGUGUAAAGAUGCACACAAGUCUUCAUGCUACCUCUCAAGUGUUCUCUAGUGUGAGUCCUCUGGCGCUGAGUUGCGAGAACACCCCCUGAAGGCUCUUCCUCACUGAGACAGGCAGAGGACCUUUCCAGUAUGAGUUCUCUGAUGGAGUCACACAGUGCUGAGGUAUGUUUAAAGCCUUUCCCACAAUGACUGUAUCCAUAGCUGUCUCUCCAGUGUGCCUUCUGUGAUGUCGAGUAAGGAAGGAGAAAAGGAUGAAAUCUUUCCCUGAAUGAUUACAUUGUAGGGUUUCUCUUCUUUAUAGACUCUUAGAUGUAGAGUAAAGCCUUCACUCCUUGGAAGUAAUUUCCUGAAUUCACCACAAAUAUAAAGUUUCUUAUAGGUAGAAAUUCUCUCAUACUGAGUAAGGAUAAUUUGUGCGUCUGCAUGUAUAGGAUUUUUCUCCUGUACAAGUUCUGAAAUGUACUGAAAGUCAGUCUUUCUUGGUGGAGACUCUCCCACACUAACACAUUUGUAAGGUUUGUCUCCUGGGUGAAUUUGCUCAUAGUGAAAAGGAUUGACCUCUGUUCAGACUUCUCUACACUCAUUACAUUUACAUAGUCUCUCUUGAGUAUGGCUUCUCCAAUGUCACUGUACAGUGGAGGAAGGAUUGAGUUCUAAUUAACUUCCCCCAAAUUCAUCAUUCUUGCAGUCUCUGUCCUGGGUCAGUGUUUUCUCAGGGCCAUAUGUUCCACUUGUCUCUCCAGGUUCUCCUGCUGCUGCUUCAAGUGGGUUUCAUAUUCCUGGUCUCUGCCAAAUGUGGAGAGAUAUAGUCCAUGCCUUGUGAAUCUUUGUGUUUUCAGGACCGCAUAUGGUUCUAAGCGAAGUGCCCUGCUUUCUGGUUAACUCCUUGCUUUUGAUUCUACUUCCUCAACCUGGAAGAAAACAACAGAUAAUUUUAAGUGUUCAGAGAAAAACUCCUGGAGAGGAAAUAGUGAGAUCAAGUGAAGAAGCACAUCUGAAGCAUGUGGAUUUGUUUUCAAAUCUGCCUUGCAAGGAGGGGACGAGUUGUGAGCAGAGAUGAGCCCAGUCCUUUGAGGCAGCUGAUGGGACACUAGGUCAUCUCUGCUCUGGUUCACUCCUCACUCUCCUUUUCCAGAUGCUCUUCUAGACUCCAGUUCUUUGGGCACUGAUCCUGAGCUCUCUUCUUUCUCUUGCCAGUGUGAUCUCUUUCAUUCCCCGGGAUUCAAAUACUAUCUCAAUGUUGAUGAAUCCCAGUUCUGUAGCUUAUCCCAGAUUCUUUCCUGAGCAUUGGACACAUUCAUUUGUCUGCUAGGCAUCUCUACUUCUGCACCCAUAACCUGUCAAAACUGAACUUGAGUCCUACAUCCACAUCGGCUCUUACCCCACCUUUUCCCUACCGGUAGAUGGCCAGGGGCCAAGGACCCCUCUACCUCCUUGAAUCAAUCACCAAAUUUUGAGUCCACCUUAAAUACCUUCCAUUGGCCCCCUUUCUGUUUCCAUUGCCCAUCCUGCACCAUCACUGCCCUUCUCAGUUGAACUACCACAGUAGUGCUUUCACUGUCAUCUCGUCUUCUGUUCAUAGCCCUGUCCAAACACAUCCAGAGCAGCCUUUCAGAAAUAGAAACCAGAUCAUGCCAUUUCCUGCUCAAACUCAACCAGUGGUGCCCUGCUGCU